rnacentral:rRNA from 1 species
UACGGAGGGGACUAGCGUUGUUCGGAAUUACUGGGCGUAAAGCGUACGUAGGCUGUUUUGCAAGUUGGGUGUGAAAGCCCGGGGCUCAACCCCGGAACUGCAUUCAAAACUGUGAGGCUAGAGAUCGGAAGAGGUAAGUGGAAUUCCCAGUGUAGAGGUGAAAUUCGUAGAUAUUGGGAAGAACACCGGUGGCGAAGGCGGCUCACUGGCUCGUUUCUGACGCUCAGGCGCGACAGCGUGGGGAUCAAACAGG